AUCUUUUAUCAGCCUUUGGACUAAAAUCAAGUGUAGUAUCUGUUCUUAUCAGUUUUUUUUUUUUUUUUUUUUUUUUUUUUUUUUUUUUUUGACAGGCAGAGUGGACAGUGAGAGAGAGAGACAGAGAGAAAGGUCUUCCUUUGCCGUUGGUUCACCCUCCAAUGGCCGCCGCGGCCGGCGCGCUGCGGCCGGCGCACC